rnacentral:rRNA from 1 species
CAAGUCGAACGAGCACUAUUCCUUCGGGAUGAGGUGCUGAGUGGCGGACGGGUGAGUAACGCGUGGGGACUGCCCCAUACCGGGGGAUAACAGCCGGAAACGGCUGCUAAUACCGCAUAAGACCGCAUGGUAAAAACUCCGGUGGUAUGGGAUGGACCCGCGUCUGAUUAGCCAGUUGGCGGGGUAACGGCCCACCAAAGCGACGAUCAGUAGCCGGCCUGAGAGGGCGACCGGCCACAUUGGGACUGAGACACGGCCCAGACUCCUACGGGAGGCAGCAGUGGGGAAUAUUGCACAAUGGGGGAAACCCUGAUGCAGCGACGCCGCGUGGAGGAAGAAGGUCUUCGGAUUGUAAACUCCUGUUGUUGGGGAAGAUAAUGACGGUACCCAACAAGGAAGUGACGGCUAACUACGUGCCAGCAGCCGCGGUAAAACGUAGGUCACAAGCGUUGUCCGGAAUUACUGGGUGUAAAGGGAGCGCAGGCGGGAAGACAAGUUGGAAGUGAAAUCUAUGGGCUCAACCCAUAAACUGCUUUCAAAACUGUUUUUCUUGAGUAGUGCAGAGGUAGGCGGAAUUCCCGGUGUAGCGGUGGAAUGCGUAGAUAUCGGGAGGAACACCAGUGGCGAAGGCGGCCUACUGGGCACCAACUGACGCUGAGGCUCGAAAGUGUGGGUAGCAAACAGGAUUAGAUACCCUGGUAGUCCACACCGUANACGAUGAUUACUAGGUGUUGGAG